rfam:Clostridium roseum strain DSM 7320 CROST_contig000070, whole genome shotgun sequence.
AUAAAUCCUUUGAUGAGGAAGAGUAACCAUAUAAUUUAGUCAAAGAGAGCUGAGGCUGGUGUGAUCUCAGUACGAUAAUUGAUGGUGAAUGGACCUUUGAGGAGUAAAUCGAAAUCCAAAGGGAAAGUAGUGGUUAACGUUUGCCGUACGUUACAACGGAUAGAGUAUGUUAGUACUUGAAAAGAGCGAUGCUUUUUUAAGCAUAAUUUAGGUGGUACCGCGGAAGUAUCUCCGUCCUAAUU